rnacentral:rRNA from 1 species
ACUCAAAUGAAUAGACGGGGGCCCGCACAAGCGGUGGAUCAUGUGGUUUAAUUCGAAGCAACGCGAAGAACCUUACCUGGAUUUGACAUCCUCUGACAACCCUAGAGAUAGGGCUUCUGUAGCAAUACAGCAGAGUGACAGGUGCUGCAUGGCUGUCGUCAGCUCGUGUGGUGACAUGUUGGGUUAAGUCCCGCAACGAGCGCAACCCUUGUCUUUAGUUGCCAGCAUUAAGUUGGGCUCUCUAAAGAGACUGCCGUGGUUAACACGGAGGAAGGUGGGGAUGACGUCAAGUCCUCAUGGCCUUUAUAUCCAGGGCGACACACGUGAUACAAUGGAUGGUACAAAGGGAUGCGAAACGGUAACGUGGAGCUAAUCUCAAAAAACCAUUCUCAGUUCGGAUUGGAGUCUGCAACUCGACUCCAUGAAGUUGGAAUCGCUAGUAAUCGCGGAUCAGCACGCCGCGGUGAAUACGUUCCCGGGCCUUGCACACACCGCCCGU